GAUGAACGCUAGCUACAGGCUUAACACAUGCAAGUCGAGGGGCAGCAUGGUGGAUGCUUGCAUUCACCGAUGGCGACCGGCGUAUGGGUGAGUAACGCGUAUCCAACCUGGCGUGCACACCGGCACAGCCCCUGGAAACGGGGAUUAAUUCUGGAUGGUGUGGAUUAUGGGUGAGCACGCUUCUGAUUAGGUAGUUGGUGAGGUAACGGCUCACCAAGCCGACGAUCAGUAGGGGUUCUGAGAGGAAGGUCCCCCACAUUGGAACUGAGACACGGUCCAAACUCCUACGGGAGGCAGCAGUGAGGAAUAUUGGUCAAUGGACGGAAGUCUGAACCAGCCAAGUCGCGUGAAGGAUGAAGGUUCUAUAGAUUGUAAACUCUUUGUCUGAGGGUAAAAAGCGGACGUGUCCGUUCUUGCAAGUAUCAGACGAAUAAGCAUCGGCUAACUCCGUG
rnacentral:rRNA from 1 species